GUGCCCACUUGCUCUGCAGGAAAUCUCUUGAAUGUUCCAUGCCACCAAACUACUGAGUACAGCUUAAGCAGCAGCCAGCUCCUCAAUCCUUUCCUCACUGGCAAGGAAGCACACCAGCUUGGUUCCUGCCUGGCAAGAGGGCAGAGAUACUCCAAUUCACAUAUAUUUUAGGAAGAGUUUCCCUCAUGAAGAAAUUCCACUGGACCCUUCUGAUGAGAUUUGCUGACUGGAAACAACAGGAAUAUGUCUAAGUAUCAAAAUGAAGUAGAGGCUGAAACAUCUGUUCAGUAUGUGGAUACUGUACAGAUCGGUUUGGAAACAACCAAGAAGUCUCCCUCACUCAAAUGCCAGCUGGGAAUUAAAGAACUCUGCCUUAAAUUGCUAGAAAUUCUCCC